AUGUUUACAAGUAGCAGUAGUUGAUUAUUUAAAUAGUUGCCACCAGGAGUCACUGAGCCAAUGACUACCAGCUGCUGACUAAUCUUCACACUGUAGUUGCUUCAUUUGCAGGUCUUCUGUGCUUAAUUGCUGUUUUUGUUGCCGUAGUACCUUACAAAUUCUUAAUUCAUUGAGAGUUAGUGACCAUCCGGGUCCAUGUUAAUAUCACAUAAUAGCAAAUUCCCUUUCAGAAGUUUCUAGCUUUAGUGCUAAAAUACUACUGAGAAAGAAACUAGGUAGUUUGAGUGAAAGAAAACAACAAAAAUUGAAAAUAAUAUGCAGUGGUCAGGUACCACUAAUAUUUGGGGAGUGUGUUUUGUCUGUUCUUCAAUGAAGGAUCAACCCAGUGUUCUGCAUCAGUGUUAGUUAAUGUCCCAUGGUUUGUGUGGAGCUUGAGUUGGUGGUAGACCGGGGCCAGAGACCAGAGUUUUUUGUUUUUUGUUUUAGUAAGUUAUUGUCCUGCUCCCUUUCCAGUUGUCUUGAAGAGCUCUUGCUACUAACUCUGGGUCCUGCUUUUCAUUUAUGUAGACAGUAAGCAUUCUCUUAAUCACAAUUAGAACAAACUCGUGACCAAAUUGUUAUCUACGAUGGAAGUUCUUGGUUUGCUUAACCACAUUCUAUGUCUUGUCCAGGUAUGUGAGUCCAGUCUCCAUGACUUACCCCCUUCAAAAGCUUCUGACACUGGUUUGAGGAUUUCUAACACUAAAUAAAAGAAAAAUUAGAUCAGGAUGUGGUAGCAAAUGCCUAUAAUCCCAGCAUUUGGGAGGCAGGGGUAGGAAGGAAUCUCAGGUUCAAGGCUGCCUUCAGGUGUCUCCAAAAAAAAAAAAAAAAAAAGAAGGAACAAAAGAAAGGUAAAUGCUAUAGUAUAAGUCCUUUAAAAAUCUAGUGGAAGGUUAAUGGUAGUUACACAUUUCUAAGCAGGGUUUUAAACAUAUUCCCCAUUAGUUUUUAGGUAAACAUGGACAAGUUAUAACUAAUGAAAAGGGCCUUUAGAUUUGUUUUUUGUUUUUUUUGUUUUUUUUCCCCAUUCAAAAUAUCAUUAAAGAGUUUCAAACAAAUUGAAAAUUCUGUGUUUGGAGAAAAUAAAGGAAAUCUUUAGAGUUUAGUAGACUAUUCAAAACUGUAAAAUAAUAUCUUUAAAAACCAUUCCGGCAACCAUCUGUUCCCAGAGGGUUUGAUUGAGAAAGCAGAUCAGGUGUGUGUAAGACAUCUCUUCAAACUCCAAACUAUGACCAGAAACACUUUAUCAUCACCCAUUGUGAGCAUCACUUGGUCAAAUUUACUGAGUCCAUUUUGAUCAUAAUGCCCGCAUACUAGUGUGAUUAAACACUGACUGUCCUGUCCAGUAAGAAUUUCUGCCUCAUCUAAUCGUGUGGCACCCUAUCUUUUCAUGUUGUUCAUUAUACCUGAAUUGUACCAUCAGUUUAGUUAAGAUGCAUGUAGUUUGCACAGUGAUUAAAGUGAACAGGUUAUGUUUAUAACAACUCUAGAGGAACCAUGGACACAGCAGGAAUUGUCACAGUAAAAACUGGUAGCAGGAAAAUUUGAAAGGGUUUGAAAUGCCCUGAAUGGGGCAAGUACUUUAUAGAGAAAAAAUGCAAAAAUGUCAACAUUUGACCAGAUGAACACUACCUCCUCCCCAGUUACUGGUAUUCACUCAUGUGUGUGUUUAAGAAAAUGAACGCAUGGAGAACUUGUGUAGCACACCAGAAGUUGUGGAUCUAUAUCUGGUAUCCAGAACCUACAGGGAAAUGUUUCUUUUUCUCCCUUUUUCGGGGUCAGCAUUUUAAAAAUGCAAAGCCUCAUAUGUUGAGACAUUUUAGGGGUUGGGGAUUUAGCUCAGUGGUAGAGCGCUUGCCUAGGAAGCGCAAGGCCCUGGGUUCAGUCCCCAGCUCCGGAAAAAAAGAACCAAAAAAAAAAAAAAAAAGACAUUUU
rnacentral:lncRNA from 1 species